rnacentral:rRNA from 1 species
CCUACGGGUGGCAGCAGUGAGGAAUAUUGGUCAAUGGACGCAAGUCUGAACCAGCAAUGCCGCGUGCAGGAAGAAGGCUCUAUGAGUUGUAAACUGCUUUUGUACGAGGGUAAACGGAGAUACGCGUAUCAGUCUGAAAGUAUCGUACGAAUAAGGAUCGGCUAACUCCGUGCCAGCAGCCGCGGUAAUACGGAGGAUUCAAGCGUUAUCCGGAUUUAUUGGGUUUAAAGGGAGCGUAGGCGGUCGGAUAAGUUAGAGGUGAAAUCCCGAGGCUCAACUUCGGAAUGGGCUCGGAUACUGUACGGCGGGAGAGUAGUUGCGGUAGGCGGAAUGUAUGAUGUAGCGUGGAAAGGCUAAGUGAUCAGACAGAACGCCGAUUGCGAAGGCAGCAUACCAAGCUAC